CUUCCGUAGGUGAACCUGCGGAGGGAUCAUUACACAAAUAUGAAGGCGGGCUGGAAUCUCUCGGGGUUACAGCCUUGCUGAAUUAUUCACCCUUGUCUUUUGCGUACUUCUUGUUUCCUUGGUGGGUUCGCCCACCACUAGGACAAACAUAAACCUUUUGUAAUUGCAAUCAGCGUCAGUAACAAAUUAAUAAUUACAACUUUCAACAACGGAUCUCUUGGUUCUGGCAUCGAUGAAGAACGCAGCGAAAUGCGAUAAGUAGUGUGAAUUGCAGAAUUCAGUGAAUCAUCGAAUCUUUGAACGCACAUUGCGCCCUUUGGUAUUCCAAAGGGCAUGCCUGUUCGAGCGUCAUUUGUACCCUCAAGCUUUGCUUGGUGUUGGGCGUCUUGUCUCUAGCUUUGCUGGAGACUCGCCUUAAAGUAAUUGGCAGCCGGCCUACUGGUUUCGGAGCGCAGCACAAGUCGCACUCUCUAUCAGCAAAGGUCUAGCAUCCAUUAAGCCUUUUUUCAACUUUUGACCUCGGAUCAGGUAGGGAUACCCGCUGAACUUAAGCAUAUCAAUAAGCGGAGGAA
rnacentral:rRNA from 1 species